GACGAACGCUGGCGGCGUGCCUAAUACAUGCAAGUAGAACGCUGAAGGAGGAGCUUGCUUCUCUGGAUGAGUUGCGAACGGGUGAGUAACGCGUAGGUAACCUGCCUGGUAGCGGGGGAUAACUAUUGGAAACGAUAGCUAAUACCGCAUAAGAGUAGAUGUUGCAUGACAUUUGCUUAAAAGGUGCAAUUGCAUCACUACCAGAUGGACCUGCGUUGUAUUAGCUAGUUGGUGGGGUAACGGCUCACCAAGGCGACGAUACAUAGCCGACCUGAGAGGGGGGUCGGCCACACUGGGACUGAGACACGGCCCAGACUCCUACGGGAGGCAGCAGUAGGGAAUCUUCGGCAAUGGACGGAAGUCUGACCGAGCAACGCCGCGUGAGUGAAGAAGGUUUUCGGAUCGUAAAGCUCUGUUGUAAGAGAAGAACGAGUGUGAGAGUGGAAAGUUCACACUGUGACGGUAUCUUACCAGAAAGGGACGGCUAACUACGUG
rnacentral:rRNA from 1 species